AUGACGAACACCUCCUUCUCUCGGCUGGACAAACUGUAAUAAUACCGAUGUCAAUAGAAGUUUCGUUCUUCUGACCGGGCGCGGAGUAGCCCUAACAACAAUGCUAAUAAAGAAGUGCCUGUGUAAUGGUUUCUCCUCGACCGAGUCCGAUUUCAAGCCUGGGAAAUGGGGAGAACUCUAAGCCCUGGAGCCGAUAUUGCUGCUAGAAGGAAAGGGGUCUGUGGAAGCUCCCGUGGCUGAGUGGGAUUGUGCUGGGGACCCCAUCCUCCCACAGGGUCCCAUGUUUACAGCCUUCAUGAGAAGAGCCACGGAUGCGCCACGGGCUCAUGCACAGACAUGCACAGCAUCUUACGUGGUUUUAAGAAGGUAUUUGCCAAAGCCGCAGUCGCACCAG